CAAUAGCGUAUAUUAAAGUUGUUGCAGUUAAAAAGCUCGUAGUUGGAUUUGUGGUUUGAUGAGCCGGCUGGGCCUUUUGGCCUUUGCUGUGCUUGUCAUCCAUCCUUGGGUGGAAUCUGUGUGGCAUUAGGUUGUCGUGCAGGGGAGGCCCAUCUUUUACUGUGAAAAAAUUAGAGUGUUCAAAGCAGGCUUAUGCCGUUGAAUAUGUUAGCAUGGAAUAAUAAUAUAGGACCUUGGUACUAUUUUGUUGGUUUGCGCACUGAGGUAAUGAUUAAUAGGGACAGUUGGGGGUAUUUGUAUUCCAUUGUAAGAGGUGAAAUUCUUGGAUUUUUGGAAGACAAACUACUGCGAAAGCAUUUACCAAGGAUGUUUUCAUUAA
rnacentral:rRNA from 1 species